UACGUAGGGUGCGAGCGUUACUCGGAAUUACUGGGCGUAAAGCGUGCGCAGGCGGUUUUGUAAGCCAGAUGUGAAAUCCCCGGGCUUAACCUGGGAAUGGCAUUUGGGACUGCAAGGCUCGAGUGCGGCAGAGGAGACUGGAAUUCCUGGUGUAGCAGUGAAAUGCGUAGAUAUCAGGAGGAACACCGGUGGUGUAGACGGCUCUCUGGACCGUAACUGACGCUGAGACACGAAAGCGUGGGUAGCAAACAGG
rnacentral:rRNA from 1 species